ACACAGUAUACCAGUAGAAAAGGUUUUUGUUUUUGUAGCUGUUUCGUGGUGAAAGUCCUUUAUGGGGGCCAAAUUUCCUCACAAGGAAUUGAGCGGAUGGUUGCUUUUGCAUUCCAAAAGAACAAAUAUUAGAAAACAUUUAAAAAAAGUCUAAGUUUGCUCUGAGCGCCUGUGUUGUUGACCAAGAAAAUGCAGCCCUGUUGGUUUUUAUUUCUGUAUCGCAUCGCGGUGAGUUUCUAUUUCUUGGUAAUUCGGUUUGUGAAAUGACUAUUAAUUACAAGCACAGCAUCAUCAACGGUGAUUGCAAGAACUAAUGGUGGUCUCCCGAUCGGCCGGGAAUAAGGCUAUUGUUGUAGAACAAAACGCCACAACCACCGCUGUGGUAAAUAUGUUCCAGCAGUACUGCCCACCGCCGUCGGUGUAAUGAUUUCGAUAGCUGAACAAACGCCAUCUCCUGGGGAUUCCCACAUGCCGACAAUAGCUAUUAUAUCACGUGUGAAUGCAACUGCGGCUAAAUUUGGUUAUUAACAGUGCAAUAGUGCCAUGUCAUUGGCAAAAACACUAAGGGAUGCUGGCACAUAGAGGUUGUAAAGUUUUUGGAAUCGAUGAACUUACUCGAAGAAGAUGAUGGUCGAAAACAUAUGAUAAAACAUCUUCUGGCGUGCCUUUGACAAUCGUUAAGUUAGACGGAGGCUUCACAUACGAUAUUUCACACAUGGCUGGAAAUCGUUAGCGGACAGAGCACACAUUUACAAAAUAUUUAUCGUUCUGCAGAACGUGUAUGCAUAUUCGAUUCCGAUUUUAUGGGUCGAUUACGGAGGACAACCGAACUUCAGUGGGUUGGCCAGUGGCUGAAAUGGUAUUACCGAUGGCAACUAGCAACUGAAAGCUGGUAACUGAGUUGCUAUAUUGGCGCGAACUAAUCAAGGCUGUCAUAGAAUCUAUCGUAGUCCGAUUUUCCGUGAAAUGUACGAAAAUGCAAUUAAAUUCGAGUAGCUACGAACGCAGUGCUUGCUUUGAAUACACAUGUUCAUAGCAGUUCAGAUUCAGUGAUCGCUUUUUUGUAGAUUUUAUGAGAAAUCGGACUACGAUGGAUUCCGCCACCAAUAUAUUUUCUCCUUUGACAAGAUGUUGGAGAAUCGCGGCAGCACAGCCCUAUACCUACCCUAUGCUCUUACGUGCAUAUGCUAAAUUUCUCGUACCUAGCUAAAGUGCUUAACAAAGGCAGAAGGCUUAUCUUCAACAUUAUAACUUAAAGUAAAAGAGUUAAAGAUAUGCAAUAAAAGAAUACAACAGAACCAAAAAAUCUCAAAACUAUUAA
rnacentral:lncRNA from 1 species